rnacentral:rRNA from 1 species
GCAGAGCACUCCUGGGAGGCAGCAGUGGGGAAUAUUGCACAAUGGGGCGCAAGCCUGAUGCAGCCAUGCCGCGUGUAUGAAGUAAGGCCUUCGGGUUGUAAAAGUACUUUCAGCAGUGAGGAAGUGGGUAUGUUAAUAGCAUACUCAUUUGACGUUUAGCUGCAGAAGAAGCACCGGCUAACUCCGUGCCAGCAGCCGCGGUAAUACGGAGGGUGCGAGCGUUAAUCGGAAUUACUGGGCGUAAAGCGCAUGCAGGUGGUUUGUUAAGUCAGAUGUGAAAGCCCGGGGCUCAACCUCGGAAUUGCAUUUGAAAACUGGCAAACUAGAGUACUGUAGAGGGGGUAGAAUUUCAGGUGUAGCGGUGAAAUGCGUAGAGAUCUGAAGGAAUACCGGUGGCGAAGGCGGCCCCCUGGACAGAUACUGACACUCAGAUGCGAAAGCGUGGGGAGCAAACCAGGAUUAGAUACCCUCGGUAG